rnacentral:rRNA from 1 species
AUGGAUGUUGCAGCCAGUGGCCAUGACGAGGCUUAUGCCUUCAUGGAGGUGCAGUACCGGAUGCUGAGAGAAAAUGUUACCCACUCGGCUACAAGGAUAACUGGGAGGAGGAAGAACCGAGCCACAUGGGUAACUCGAAGGGAAAAAAAAUCAGUGGCGCCACCGUCCAUUCUCAUGCCUCCCCUUCUACAGAUACACAACCACUGCCCUUGCUGCUUCUCAACUCCACCUUUGUCCUUGGUACCAUCAGCAUUGACGCAGUCGUCCAUCUGCAUGCCGCAUCAGCGAAGAAGUAGGCACAUCAACUAUGUGCUGAUGCCGAGUUUGCAUCUAGGCAUCAUGUAUGUUGCUUUGUUUCUCCUGUACUACUGCUGGCACAAAUAUUUCUGUUGA